UGGGGAAUUUUGGACAAUGGGGGAAACCCUGAUCCAGCCAUCCCGCGUGUGCGAUGAAGGCCUUCGGGUUGUAUAGCACUCUUGGCAGGAAAGAAACGUCAUGGGUUAAUACCCCGUGAAACUGACGGUACCUGCAGAAUAAGCACCGGCUAACUACGUGCCAGCAGCCGCGGUAAUACGCAGGGUGCAAGCGUUAAUCGGAAUUACUGGGCGUAAAGCGUGCGCAGGCGGUUCGGAAAGAAAGAUGUGAAAUCCCAGAGCUCAACUUUGGAACUGCAUUUUUAACUACCGGGCUAGGGUGUGUCAGAGGGAGGUGGAAUUCCGCGUGUAGCAGUGAAAUGCGUAGAUAUGCGGAGGAACACCGGUGGCGAAGGCAGCCUCCUGGGAUAACACUGACGCUCAUGCACGAAAGCGUGGGGAGCAAACAGG
rnacentral:rRNA from 1 species